AUACGUAGGUGACAAGCGUUAUCCGGAUUUACUGGGCGUAAAGGGCGUGUAGGCGGUCUUGCAAGUCAGAAGUGAAAUUCCUGAGCUCAACUCGGGCGCUGCUUCUGAAACUGCAGGACUUGAGUGCUGGAGGGGCUAGCGGAAUUCCUAGUGGAGCGGUAAAAUGCGCAGAUAUUAGGAAGAACACCGGUGGCGAAGGCGGCUAGCUGGACUGUAACGGACGCUGGGGCGCGAAAGCGUGGGGAGCAAAAAGGAUUAGAUACCCUGGUGGGCCACGCCGUAAACGAUGAAUACUAGGUGUAGGGGGUAUCGACUCCCUCUGUGCCGCAGUUAACACAAUAAGUAUUCCGCCUGUGGAGUACGGCCGCAAGGUUGAAACUCAAAUGAAUUGACGGGG
rnacentral:rRNA from 1 species